UACGAAGGUCCCAAGCGUUGUUCGGAAUCACUGGGCGUAAAGGGUGCGUAGGCGGUCUUGUAAGUCGGGCGUGAAAUCCCGAGGCUCAACCUCGGAACUGCGCUCGAUACUGCCAGACUUGAGGAUCGGAGAGGAGACUGGAAUUCUCGGUGUAGCAGUGAAAUGCGUAGAUAUCGAGAGGAACACUCGUGGCGAAGGCGAGUCUCUGGACGAUUCCUGACGCUGAGGCACGAAGGCCAGGGUAG
rnacentral:rRNA from 1 species